ensembl:lncRNA
CAUAGUCAGAGCGGGAUUUAAGCUUUCAGGGGCCAGGAACGACAUCUAGAAGCCACAUUUGCCAGAGCACUAAGGACAGUCAUCAGAUUCUCCUCCAAGAGGUCAGUCACUUGGACCAGAAGGUAUUGCUACCAGUUCAUUUCUACCUCACACUUGAAGGAAGUGAGCCGUGAGAUUUUAUUUCUGGAUUGGACAAUAGGCUUCCUAUUGUUGGUUGGCCUGCCCGCCCACACCUGUGUCACACAGGCUAAACGCCAUCACGACAGGGCUGUCCACAGCGAAGCAUUCACUGGACACUUGAGUUUGUCUCAGAAAUGGAGCAAAAGGGAAACAAAUGGUCUCAGGGUGGACUUAGUAAAUGUGCUCCUCUGCAUCAGAGCCUUGACGGUGUCCGUGAAACCUCCUCCCUUUCACCACCAGCCAGCAUACCUAGGAGUCGCUGCUAAAGUCUGUGCAUCUCUCUAAAGCUUGUUGUUUAGUUCCUAAUAGAGAUUAUUUUUUAAAAAGGUGAAGGAGAUGGUAGGAUAAUUCUGGAUGGUUGAUGGUUUAAAACAAAAGAAAAUAAAUCCAAAAAAUACCAGGGAAACAACACCAAAAUUGCAACACAAAACUUAUGCUUGUUUUUGAACAGAGUGCGAUGAUGGUUUGUUUCCAAGGUUCUGGCUCCUGGCCAUGUCAUUGCAAUGACCAACUCUACAUACUGAAAAUUGUCUCAGCAUUCGAUAUUAUUCUCCUCUAAAUCUUGUAUGGGCAAGAAUUACUGACCUCACUCUGGAAUGGAAAUCCCUUUGGCUUAAAGGUGCCGAUGUCACCAAACUAGAAGGCAGACUACAAUCCGGAUCUUUGUUUAGCUAACAUCACCAUGACCUUUCAGGAAUGCAAAAAAUCAGGCUCUUAGUCCAUCCCUCUGAGAGCAGUUUCACUGUGGAGCAGCUUCCUGGGCAGAGGGGACAAAUUUGUACCAGACUUCUGAAGGAUGUGUUGCUCAUCCCCCCUCCCCGGGCUUGUACCUCAUGGUUCCGUGAGUCAGAAAGGCACCUGGGCUGGGGCUGGCCAGGCAGGAUGGACACUUUCAUUGCCCCUUCACACCCGCUCUGGGGGAACCGGCAGCAGAACCCAGCAGUGGCAGCCCAAAGCUAUUUACCAAGGUACAGCUUCCCGGGCAGCCACACAAGAGGAGGCCACACCCUGCUCCUCGCUGAAAAAGGACCCAGGAGGCCCGGUCUGAUCAUUAACCUUCAUGAGGACACUGAAGGUCAGCUGUGGCCAGUCCUCUCUCUUUCAACAGGCAGAAAAGCACACAUAUUCGACCUUCCACGCUUUGCAGAAUGGUGGGUAUGAAUCCAAAUUAGAUGGCCCAGAAAUGCCAAAAACUUAUUUAUGUGUCUAUCUGUCUGUGUUGUCCGACUGUACCAAUUCAGCAAUUCAAAAGGAAAAGCCUCAAAGAUGAAAAGCUUAAGUAGCUGGAGUAGGGACUCUCUCACCGAUGACAUGGACUUUGCGUUCCACCCAUUAAUCUCUAAUUUUCAAUAAAUUUGUCAAACUUAUCUCUUACCCAGCAUUUCUUUCAACAGAUUCAACAAUAACUUCAUCUCAGCGUACUUGGUAAGGAAGCUCUGAAGUGUUUGACCUAGAAAUGACACAAAGUGUUAGGUGGAAGAUUCUCUUGCCUCUUAGGACGUAGCACAAGAGCGUGUCAAGCUGAGUAUGUCCAGGGCACAGUCCCAGAGGUGGCCUUGAGCGGAGAGCUAUCUUCCAGGGAACACAGGAUAUUUCUUCUUGUAUUGCUCUUAGGGUCAACUCUGUAUCAAGAGACAGAAACCAAGAUGACUCAAAAGCCCUUGAAAAAGAGGCAGUCUCCUCUUAGAGAACUGCGUGUUUUCAUACAGCCUGUGCAGAGGGAGAGCUGUGAUUAAGGACCUGUAUUUUUUAUUUGCAGACUUUCAGUUCUGCUCUAAUUUGGCUGAAACCAUGGGUUCCGAGUUUCAUUUCCAAACGGCCAGCUUCCGGGCACGCCUUGCGGUCCCGACCAGCUACGCGGUGGCCCACGGGGCCCUGUGGUGUCUCCUGUGAGAAGGGUGGGAGCUCCCCGGGCCGGAGGAGCGACCCCCCACGGGGUCCGUGCUCACCCCACAUCCGGAGGUAGCCGGGUUCCACACCGAAUGCAGAAGUUGUAGUGGGAGAAGACGCCAUCUCGACUGCACAUGGAAUUGUGGUCUGGAGUCUGAGUGACAAUCAGAAGAUUCAGGGGAACUCGAAAGGGACCAGAUGCUUUUAGGUCAGAGAUUUAAAAUUCGGAAAGCAAAAGAAAAGAGAGAGGGGAGAGAAGAGGAGGAAGGAACUUGCAAGUGUUGCUGCAUCUUGAGAAAGGGGGAACAGGACAUGAUAGCCUUCGCUGCUCCCCUCAGUGCUGCUAAUUCAGGACCAAUUCCCUGCCAAGCAGAAGCAGGAAGCUGCUUGGAGAAAGGGCUGGGCGCCCCGGGCUGCUCCCCACGCUCCCCGUGGGUCUGUCUCAUCUGCCGCCCCCGCUCGCUCUCCAGCAGGUCUGCGGCUCACGAGGACACUCGUUAUUCCUCAGCUACACGCCAAGAGGGAUCUAGAACACUUUGGAAAAAGAACACAAAAGCCCUGGGUCUGCUGAGCAGCCUGUGAUCCGAUUAUCUGGCUUUGCCGAGGGCCGAGGGGGAGUGCUGUUUAUCUGGUCAGGGGUCGCGGUGGCAUCUCAAAGCCGCCCGGCCCCAUCCUGGGAGAAGGGCCAGCAGCAGGAGCCGCGGCAUCCAGACAGCUCCCGAGCAGAGCAGCCCACCCGGGGACACCGUCUCCUUCCGAGGGCAGGCCGAAGGGCAGGCACAGGCGCUCCGGAAGCAGGGAGAGCAUGCGGGGCGGGGCGGGGAGGGGAUUUCAGAGCUCACGGGCCGUCCUCCUCCCUCUGAAGUGUCCUGUCGGCGGGAACCAGCCUGGGGACUUCACAGCGAUGUCUGAUGUCUCUCCUCAUCGACUGCUUUCCUCCACCAGUGGACUCCACCCCUCACCGCUCUCCCAUUGGCCCUCGCUGCCUCUCGGUCUUGCCCGCCCUUCCCGUCAGGAUGUGCCAACCAUUCUUCCACUUGGACCCGGGCCUCCCACGAGACAGAUACCCCUUGCUUUCUUCUCCGAUUCUCUUUUCUCUGACACAGGCUAAAUGGCUUGGGCCACUCUUCUAAUUAGCAAUGAUCGCGCCUCAGAUAAACCUCAUUGGCUGUGCUGCUGCCACUGGGAAAACCUGGAGGCACUCGCUCUCUUAGACGUACAGUUUUACCCAGUGGUCAGAGGGCUAUCACAGAAGAUUCUUCAGGACACUUUCCUUUGGGAGGCGUAAGAGGAGCACAGUAGAAAUUACGCUGGGCCUUUGCGUGUGCAUGAUUCGUCUGCAUGGCCCAAAUGUGAACCACGCAAUGCUCCCAGUGUGACGCAUCCUGGCAGUAACUGGCAGCGUGAAUGGAGAGCCGAGUAAAUGCCCCUCCCAGUGGUUUCUGGUGAAACUUGGAGCUUUUUGUAGCUAACGGCAUUUCAACUUUGUCCCGAUGGAAAAGGUGGCCGACAAGAGGUGGUAGCAUUUCAGACGCGUUCAUCAGCCUGUGCUGCACAAGGAAUCCAGACCUACCAUUGAUGAGAGUUCGUGCAUCAAAACACCCAAGCGUUUCCCUUCCUACGGUCGCCUCGGUUCAGAUGCAUGGAGCGCAUAAGCCCAGCUCACAGUCCAGCACCUUCCGGCAGUUUGCUCUGAGGAGCUGCAGCUGUCCUUCCAGGGAGCGCAGGUGCCGGCCUCGGGUAACUCACAGCAGCGACGACAGCGGUCUGCACGUGUGUCAAAGUGGCUGGAGGUGGUGACCGGAAACUACCCGGGGACAUUUAUCCCCGGGAGAAGUCAGGAGGGCUGGCUCAGGUCCUUUGCCAAAGACAAUGCUGGUAGAAACAGAAUUCCAGGAGUCUGAGGGUUGAAUGAGAGGGGCUUUCCUAGGAGCCCAGACUCCUUCUGCCAGACCCCAGGAGUUGUUGACAAGAGCCAUAGCUGAAGACCCCAGAGCCAAAGCCUGCAUCAGCAAAUCUCCUCUGCUUAUCUGAAGAGCAAGACCCACAGGAUUACGCAGGAGAAAACAAUGUCAGAGCAGAAUUCACGGCCUGGUGAAGAAAGAAUCCGUGUUUCUUCCUUUGGAAUCUCUGCAAGAAAGCUCCUCAUAGAAAACUGAUUUCAGUAUGGUACAGUUUGCCUUAGUUCUCACUAAGGCUUUUCGUCCAUCGGAGGGCAUGGUAACAGUGACUGCGGUGAGAUCCAUCGGGUGCACGAUGUAAGUGCAGUAUGAAGGCGCUGCUGGCAGAUCUAGGCAGGAAGCGUGGCGUGCUGCGGCAGCAGGCAACUGCUCCCACACUGAGGGCCCGGCGCAGGUACUGACCCCACCAUGUGUGGCCCUGAGGGCAGCAGAGCACCUUCGUGCCCAGGGCCUUCGAAACUGCGCCUCUUCGUCACAUGUACUCCCUUGUCUCCAGCUCCGAGCAACGUAGACCCUGAGGGCCGCAGCUGUGCGCAGGACUCCGCCUUCCAGUACAGUUUCCAGGCCAGGUUUCUGCCUCUUUCUCACUAAACCAAGUCGGACCCACAAUGCCACACUCUCGAGAAAGCUUCCAAGCGUGGAGGACUCAAACUGCUGAUACCCGAACUGAUCUAAAUUUAACCUCAGGUAUCUUUGCCUUGUUAGAAUGGAGGCAGUUAGAGCGGGGAUAUAUUUGUUUUCGAGGCGAAAAGAUGAGAUUGACUUAAAUAGGAUGCACGAUGUAUUACUGAAAUCGUUUGAAAGGAGAACUGAUCUGAAAUAAGAUAUUCGGUGCUAUUUUCAGAUGAGGCCAGGAAACAGUGCUACUAUUAGAAAAUACAGUUUCUGACAGUGGAAGUACUUUCUUUUGUGAAAAAGACUAUGAAUAAAUUUAACAAGGAAACUAUAUUCAAAUAGAGCUUCUAACAUCCAACACAUUGUAUAAAUUCAUUAAUAAUAAAUAUAAACAAUAAAGAAAAAUACCAUUGAGAAUAAACUGCAAGGAAGAAACUGGUCCUAUGAAACAUCUUUCCAUGCCAUAAUAAUUGAUUAGUGUAAUAUCUUUUCAAGCUGUACCGCUCAGAAGUAUUUUAAAUAUUAUUUGACUAUAUAUGUAAUGUAUAUAUAUGUGUGUAUGUGUGUGUGCAUGUACUAUUCUUAGCUAAAUAUACACUAUUUUACUCAAGUGAAAUAUGAUAUCUGUCAUUUUUGUAACUAACUUAGAUUCAGUGUGGACUCCUCCAGGAUGUUCUCAUACAAUCAAACAAUUUGAUGUCAUAUUCUUUGCUUCAAUAUAAU